rnacentral:ncRNA from 1 species
GCAAAAGCUGUGAAGAGGAAUAGUAACUGCCCAUCAUUUUUCCAGAAAGCUGUCGGGAGAUGCGAGACAGCAAAAUGCGGACGGUGAACUCGCCUUGAAGCUGCGGACUGAACAGGUCGGUAAAGCCUCGGUAACGAAGAACAGAUUUUGUUACGGCUUAACAGACAGUAGGUUUCGCCGGAAGCCCACCGUUAAAAGGGAACGGCAUGAUAGUGUCAAAGAGAGCGUACUGGUCACAGUACGAAGUAGAGUGGUAACGCGAAAGAAUAAUCUUCCGUCUCUACA